rfam:Glossina austeni unplaced genomic scaffold Scaffold1, whole genome shotgun sequence.
ACUGAGCCCCCACCAUCGUAGCGUGCUAAUGCCAACCAGCCUCCGCGGAGUAAUACCUAACGGUGGUCCCGCGGAGGAGAAUGCUAGAAGAAGUGUGUGGGGGGGUAGUUUUUAGUACGUAAGCGUCAUGGAUGGCGAAUCGUGCAUGCUGCUACUAAGAACCAGCAAUAUCUUCCGAAGAUUUUCUACCUCCUGCUC